rnacentral:rRNA from 1 species
GAUGAACGCUAGCGGCAGGCUUAACACAUGCAAGUCGCGGGGCAGCGGGGGAUGUAGCAAUACAUUCUGCCGGCGACCGGCGCAAGGGUGCGUAACGCGUGAGCAACAUGCCCGUCUCAGGGGGAUAACCGGUGGAAACGCCGCCUAAUACCCCAUGGUGACAUCCGGAGGCAUCUCCGGCUGUCUAAAGCUCCGGCGGAGACGGAUUGGCUCGCGUGACAUUAGCUGGACGGCGGGGUAACGGCCCACCGUGGCUACGAUGUCUAGGGGUUCUGAGAGGAAGGUCCCCCACACUGGAACUGAGACACGGUCCAG